AGNNUGCUCCGCUGACGACCGGCGCACGGGUGCGUAACGCGUAUAGAAUCUACCUCUUACUAAGGGAUAGCCCAGAGAAAUUUGGAUUANNAUCUUAUAGUAUACAGACCUGGCAUCANGAUUGUAUUAAAGGUUACGGUAAGAGGUGACUAUGCGUCCUAUUAGCUAGAUGGUGUGGUAACGGCACACCAUGGCUACGAUAGAUAGGGGCCCUGAGAGGGGGAUCCCCCACACUGGUACUGAGACACGGACCAGACUCCUACGGGAGGCAGCAGUGAGGAAUAUUGGACAAUGGAGGCAANUCUGAUCCAGCCAUGCCGCGUGCAGGAAGACUGCCCUAUGGGUUGUAAACUGCUUUUAUACAGGAAGAAACACUCUCACGUGUGAGAGCUUGACGGUACUGUAGGAAUAAGGAUCGGCUAACUCCGUGCCAGCAGCCGCGGUAAUAC
rnacentral:rRNA from 1 species